ACUGGGAUCAAACUGGCCUUACUUUGGAUGGGGAAAGAGCAGGUCAUCUGACAGUUUGGGGCAUCGUUCCUGUACUCAGACAUCACCUACCGCUGCCUGGACCUUUGUCCCAACAUCCUCACCUACCUCCCAGCCUCCAGGCUUCCCUCCAGUCCAUCUGCAUGGCCAGAGCUGACUGCACCCCUCCCUGCUUACUGCCCCCUACUGUGCACCCCCACCCCAGCCCCACAGACUGAGCUCUCCAGCCUGGUGCCUGAGACUCCUAUCUGCUUCCUGUUUGAGCUCUCACCACAGCCUGGUGCACUGAUAACUCACUUUGUGGAGAUACUCUUCAGGGUUUUCAGCUUCUGGUCUUUGCUAGGUCUGUUCCCUCAGCCCAAGUGUUCUCACCCGCCCUUCCUUGCCUGGCCUGCAGCCACUUUCUCAAAACUCAGAGGGGCAGGUCUCUAGGAAGCAUUUCCUGAGUGCCACAGGCUGGAUAAAGCUGUCCCCCGCAGAGCCUCCCUUCGUUCUCUUUGCCUGGGCCCAGCGCUAGCGCUCCCCUCGUUGGAGCCCACAUCUCCUGCAGGCUCCACGUCCCCUUCUGCCUUGCUGGCCUGAGAAUCCUCACGGGCAGGGACCAGCACAAGGCCGGGAUGUCUUUGGUUGACUGUACGGCAUGUCUUCCGCCACCCCAGCAAACUUAUACUCAUCCAUCAAGAUCCAGCUGAGAUGCCUGUGGGAAGCCUCCCCUGACUUCUGCAGGCAGUCGGGCUCUCUCGUAGCCCUCUGUACUACCCUGUCUCGGAUUCCAUUCCAACCAGCUGUGUCCAGGUUGGCGCACCAAGUCAGGGGCCCCCAAGGGAAGGUCCCAGGUCUAACUCGUGUCCCCAGCUUUGUCACACAAGGACCUGGUCCAUGAAGGGUCCCAGGAAACAUUUGUUGAAAGAACAAAUGAAUACAUGGAUAGUAUUAUGA